ACGGGGUGCAGCAGGCGGCGAAAACUUUACAAUGCCGGCAACGGCGAUAAGGGGACCUCGAGUGCCAGGUUACAAAUCUGGCUGUCGCGAUGCCUAAAAAGCAUUGCAUAGCAAGGGCCGGGCAAGACCGGUGCCAGCCGCCGCGGUAACACCGGCGGCUCGAG
rnacentral:rRNA from 1 species